GAUGAACGCUGGCGGUGCGCCUAAUACAUGCAAGUCGAACGAGAACCACACGUAGUUUACUACAUCGUGGGGACAGUGGCGGACGAGUGAGUAACACGUAAGAAUCUGCCCCGAACUCAGGGACAACCUUCCGAAAGGAAGGCUAAUACCGGAUGCCCUCGCAAGAGGAAAGAUUUAUCGGUUCGGGAGGAGCUUGCGGCCUAUCAGCUUGUUGGUGAGGUAAAAGCUCACCAAGGCUAUGACGGGUAGCUGAUCUGAGAGGAUGAUCAGCCACGAUGGGACUGAGACACGGCCCAUACUCCUACGGGAGGCAGCAGUAGGGAAUCUUCCGCAAUGGACGAAAGUCUGACGGAGCGACACCGCGUGGAGGAUGAAGGCCUUAGGGUCGUAAACUCCUUUUCUGGGGGAAGAAGUUCUGACGGUACCCCAGGAAUAAGCCCCGGCUAAUUACG
rnacentral:rRNA from 1 species